rnacentral:rRNA from 1 species
CCUACGGGAGGCAGCAGUGAGGAAUAUUGGUCAAUGGGCUUACGCCUGAACCAGCCAAGUCGCGUGAGGGAAGACUGCCCUAUGGGUUGUAAACCUCUUUUGUCAGGGAGCAACGCCGGCUACGUGUAGCCGGACUGAGAGUACCUGAAGAAAAAGCAUCGGCUAACUCCGUGCCAGCAGCCGCGGUAAUACGGGGGAUGCGAGCGUUAUCCGGAUUUAUUGGGUUUACAGGGUGCGUAGGCGGAAUGCCAAGUCAGCGGGAAAAUCGCGGGGCUCAACCUCGAUCCGCCGUUGAAACUGGCGUUCUUGAGGGGGCGAGAAGUAUGCGGAAUGCGUGGUGUAGCGGUGAAAUGCAUAGAGAUCACGCAGAACUCCGAUUGCGAAGGCAGCAUACCGGCGCCCAACUGACGCUGAAGCACGAAAGCGUGGGUAUCGAACAGGAUUAGAUACCCCUGUAGUC